AUGUUUCCACAUACCCCAGAAUAUUCUCAAAACCUGCUGCGUUUGCAGACAACCGGUGGCUGGACUAUUGAAUUCGUAGAGUCUGGGGGUGACAUUAGAAAACCCGGAGACUCUCUCCACCUCUCCUGUAAAACCUCCGGAUUCAAAUUCAGUGACUACUGGAUGAGCUGGUAUCGAGUGUCUCCGGGCAAGGGACUGGAGUGGGUAUCCAGCAUGGGGAAAUCCCCUACUAGUGAUAAAUAUUAUGCCAGUUCGGUGAAAGGGCGAUUCACCAUAUCCAGGGACAAUUCCAAGAACACGGCAUAUUUGCAAAUGAACAAACUGAACCCUGAAGACACUGCUAUGUACUACUGCCGAGAUCAAACAACUUCCGAGCCCUCCGUCUCCAUUAUGAAGUCAGAAAAUGAGAGCAUUGCUGCCUGCCUGGCGAAAGAUUUCUACCCUAAAGAACUAAAGAUAUUGAUGAAUUCUGACAGUGAAAUUAUAUUUGAAGCAACAGACCCGAUCCUCACACCUAGUGGAAAAUACAGCGCUGUCAAAAUUGUCAAGUUGUCUUCAAAUGAACUAGUGUCUUGCUCCGUUCAACACAACAGCAAACUUAUUAAGAAAACCCAAACAGCUGAGAAGCCGCCAGAUUUCACAUCUCCUGCUCCAACGAUCAUUGUGCCCGAGCCGUGCAACAUUUCAACCCCCAGCCUCGAAGAUCCGAAUGAGGAGAAAAACACAAAGACACUAUCCGCUGCCCUGCUGGGUUUGGAAAUUGUGCUUGCAAAGAGCAUCGUCUUUAAUGUGCUCAUGAUUGCAAGAUUAGUCUCUGAGGUUCGCAAGAAGGAGCGAGGAAGGACCUGAGAAAUAAAGCAAAAUUUCUGUCAUCUUUGUUUAUAUUAAUUAUAUUCACUGCUUUUGCUACUGACAAUUAGUCUGCAUUUAUUGUUGCUAUGAAUAGAUUUUUAACAAGCUAAUUUUGGUAACUGCACAAAGAAUUGUAAAGUUACAAUAAUGACUUCAGCAUUAAGACUGGAGGAGAGUUUCUAUUUUAAAUUUUAUUUUGUAUUCCCUCAAAACUUUCCCUGCCCCUUGAAAAAAAAAACCCUAUCUUUAAUGCAAACCUCCCAUGUUUCUUAGGCUAGAAUAGGAUGUUUGCCAACUAAAUUAUACAGAUUGUACAAGACUUUUUGAAAGAGCAGACUUUGAAAGAUGAUGGGCUUUUUAAAAAUAUCUAACUUUUUUGAAUUCAUGU